GGGGGAAACCUUGACGCAGCAACGCCGCGUGGGUGAUGAAGGCCUUCGGGUCGUAAAGCCCUGUCAGGUGGGAAGAAACUCGUGGAUGCUAAUAUCAUCCACGCUUGACGGUACCACCGGAGGAAGCACCGGCUAACUCCGUGCCAGCAGCCGCGGUAAUACGGAGGGUGCAAGCGUUGUUCGGAAUUACUGGGCGUAAAGCGCGUGUAGGCGGUUGGGCAAGUCAGAUGUGAAAGCCUUCUGCUCAACAGAAGAAGUGCAUUUGAAACUACCCGGCUAGAGUACGGGAGAGGAGAGUGGAAUUCCCGGUGUAGAGGUGAAAUUCGUAGAUAUCGGGAGGAACACCAGUGGCGAAGGCGGCUCUCUGGCCCGAUACUGACGCUGAGACGCGAAAGCGUGGGGAGCAAACAGGAUUAGAUACCCUGGUAGUCCACGCCCUAAACGAUGGGCACUAGGUGUAGGAGGUAUUGACCCCUUCUGUGCCGAAGCUAACGCAUUAAGUGCCCCGCCUGGGGAGUA
rnacentral:rRNA from 1 species